CGGGGAGCACCACAACAGGUAGAGCCUGCGGUUUAAUCGGACUCAACGCCGGGAAACUCACCAGAUAAGACAGCUGAAUGAUAGUCGGGCUGAAGACUCUACUUGACUAGCUGAGAGGAGGUGCAUGGCCGUCGUCAGUUCGUACUGUGAAGCAUCCUGUUAAGUCAGGCAACGAGCGAGACCCACGCCAACAGUUGCCAGCUCGUCCUCCGGGAUGGUGGGGACACUGUUGGGACCGCCUCUGCUAAAGAGGAGGAAGGAAUGGGCAACGGUAGGUCAGCAUGCCCCGAAUUAUCUGGGCUACACGCGGGCUACAAUGGGUGGGACAAUGGGUAUCGACACCGAAAGGUGAAGGCAAUCUCCUAAACCCAUCCGUAGUUCGGAUUGUGGGCUGCAACUCGCCCACAUGAAGCUGGAAUCUGUAGUAAUCGUGUCUCAAAAUGGCACGGUGAAUAUGUCCCUGCUCCUU
rnacentral:rRNA from 1 species